rnacentral:lncRNA from 1 species
CCCAAGCCUAGAAAGAAGCCUGCUCUUCAAAGAUGAGCGUGCACUGGCGCUGGCAAAUGGCUAACAAGGACCGGGAUCCAAAAGGCAUCAAGAACUUCCAAAGCUCAGCAAGAAAACAAAUAACCCGAUUUUUAAAAAACAGGCCAAGAAACCGCAUGAAAACCUAAGCCUGAACACACACUUCACCACAGAAGAAAUGCUCACAGCAAUAAACACACGGAAAGAUGCCCAACGUCACUGGCCCCAGGGGAGAUGAGAACGAAACACGGUGAGGCGGAAGACCAGACCAGGUGCCCGUGGGGGCGGGGGACCCAGAGACAGAGCUCCAGCCGCCAGGGCGCUCCCCCCGCAGGCCUGUGCCCGGCCCCUGCACCCCCAGGUACUGCCCUAAGUGGGGGUGGGGGUGGACAUUCAUGCCCAUACACAUGUGCUUUCCCGGUAAGCCCCCAAACCAGGGACAACCCACCUUCCGAUUCCCUUCAUACAAAAAGUACAAGAGGGACUUCCCUGGUGGCCCAGGGGUUAGGACUCCAUGCUCGCAACGCAGAGGACACAGGUUCAAUCCGUGGUCAGGGAGAUCUGCUAGAGAAGGGACAGGCCACCCACUGCAGUAUUCUCAGGCUUCCCUGGUGGCUUAGCUGGUAA